CUCCUCUCGGUUGCUUUUGGCCGCGUCCGGAGUGUGUCUAAUUCUCGGGCGGCUCGCACACCAUCUAGCGAGGAGGCGAGCGCGCCGGAGAGUGAGGGAGGAGGCGCGGCGGCAGCGGAGGAGGCAGGGCGAGCGGCGGCGGCGGCUGCAAUCGCAGCAGCAGCAGCAACAGCAGCAGCAGAAGCAGCGCGGGGCGCUGCGCCGGCCGCCGGCCCCCGGGCUCGCGCGCGUUGCCAAGCGGCCGUUUCCUUAGCAACCCCGCCCGGGGACUGGGGAUGGAGAAGGGGGGGUGGAUUUAAAAAAAAAAGAAAGAAAGAAAGAAAAACGAAAGCAAGAAAAAAAGAAAAGAAAGACAACGAAAAAAAUAAUUAGGAGGAACUGUAUCACAAUUAUGCAAACCGAGGGGGAAAGAGAGCCACCGUAGAAUGAAGGCUUUCCUUACUGUCGUAAGCGCUAGAGGGAUGCUUUGCUAGAAAAGUCUGCGUGUCGGGGCUGGGGUGAAGAGAGCUGAGGGGCGCUUUCCCUUCCCUCACCGGUGCGUUUUACCUCUCGAGGCACCGUAAGUUUGAAGUCCUCCAAGUUGUGGUCGGCGCCAUCAUGACGCCGGCGACUGGCCCAGAGAUGCUCUCAACACCACACUACUGUUGCCGGGAGUGCAUUGGAGAUUCUGGACUGUUUUCUCUAUCUCUUUAGUGCCUCUUUCAGCGAUAUGAAGUAGAAACCAGGUACUAUGAAUGCUCACCUGAAGUUUGGUUCUUAUGAAAGUGGUUUUAUUUUGUUUUGUUUUUCUGUGUAGAUGGUUGUUAACUUAGUGUCCUGGCUGGGGGUGGAGGAUGAUCAGCAGAGCCUUCUAUUCCACUGUCUUGCUCCACCUCUAUAUGAGCCCAUGAACAAAAUGAUCAUGGUGGAGACUGCAUACACUUGACAAUGUAGACUUUCUCUUAGCAAGGCUAAUCUGAAUGCCUCGUCUGUCAAAAGCAGAGAUUAAUGAGUUUUCAAUAUUUCAUUAUUCCUAAGAGUCUAGGCAGCCACCUGGAUAGGGUUGAUUAUUUUCAACCCUUUUUGUCACAGUUGGAGCUGUAUGUUGUAUUUUUAUAAGAACUUGAAGCACAUCUAUCAGCACCAACAUUCAUAGAUUUAGAUUCUCUCGUGUGUUACUAUUUCAUCCCACAAGUAUCCUACCUGAUUAGAGGACACAUUACAGGAAAGGCAGUUGGUCAAGAGACACAUGCCAAGGGUAUUCGCAAAUAGUCUUAACACAUUCCCUGUGACCCCAAAUUAGUUGAGUCGAUAGAAUGAUGGAAUGAUCUGCUGAAAGGUCAGUUAUGAUGUCAGAUUACAACUAACUUACUCAGGUGACAAAUGUGUUAUUAUUUUCCUCAUUUUAACUGAGAAAGUAAAGUUCAUAAAGGUUGUUUCAUGAUAUAUCCAUUAGAUGCCAUAACUGCAAUAUUAAUUAAAAUGUACAAUUUUAAAUUUAUAAUCCUUGGCAUUUAAAAUAUCUCUCCAAAUUUUACCCAUCUGUCUAUUGAACUUUAUCUUCCAUGACCACUUUCAAAAGAUUCUAUGUUUUGUUUCAUUAAAGUACUUAAUUAUUCUGCAGAAAGUAUUUAUUGUUCACCUGUUGUGCUUCAAACAGCCUGUGAGUUACCAAGGCUAAAAUAUGUGGUUCCUACCUUCAAGGAACACAACUUUAGUGUGUAAAUUGUCAGCCUGUAUGAAUGUAAGCAUACUAGUACUUGCUUCAUUCAACAAAUGUUUACCUAACUUUGGCAGGGUGAAGAUAUUGUUAUAACCUAUAGACAUAAACCAUAAUUUUAUGAGCUAACAUUAAGAGAUAAACAGGAAACAUAUAUGGUAGGAUAUGAUAAAUGACCAAGAGUAACACAAUGUGAAAAUAUGUAAAUUAUGUCAAGCUAUGUCAUGUUGUCAAUUUCUGACUAUUUUGGACGAAAUAUAUCUUUUGUGUUAAGAAAGAGCAUUUGAUAUGUGUCCAUUUGAUAUGUCAUGCCUAUCAGUUAUAAAAGGCAAAACACGACUGUGAAGAAGACUAACACACUAUUUUUAAAUUUUAACCUGUUGACAUCUGUCAAAUAACUUAUCAUUUAACCCACUUUAUAUAGAGAGUGAUUGCUUGUUUUAUCCUGAUGUUUUUUCUUUUUAAAUUGAUAAAACAGUAAUAAUGAUUGAUGACUUUUUCUUUCCAAAUGAUAGAAAAUGAAGAAACUUCAAUAUAAAUUUCAAGUCUUAAUGCAACAUAAACGCUUAAGUGAUUAAUAUUGCUCAGCUGGAUUUCUUUUUAAGUAUUCUGAAAAUAGAAUUUGAUAGAAAAGAUGUGGAGACAAAAGGGAAUUUUCAUGAUCCAGGGAGAAACUUUGUC